GAACUAAGCGCUGUCAGCGGUACACGUUGACCUAAGCAAACCCUCCCGCUACACCACCUAUACACGUCCUUGGACGUACAGUACAAAAGGUCCUCGAGAAGGUCAAAGCGUAGACCGAACGCUGACCCUGUACCUUGACUUGUCGCGAUGGUGGUGGUGGGGGGAAACAGAGGUGGGGAGGGGUGCGGCACGAACACGUGUCGACUGGCCUGCGUAGUCAAGCGCGGCUGUAGAGAGAAAGCUAGAUGCAGGCGUAGUCAUCACCGCCCAGAGGUCAUGCCCUCGCAUUACCAGUCUCCCGCCUGUUCACCUCACUUUCCUAAAGGGGCCUACGAAGCGCGUUACUCUCUUGCAGGCUGCAUGAGCAUAACACUUCCAAAAGCAUCAGAAACAUCAGAGGCAGAGAAUGGAGAAGAUUCACACAGAACUGCUCAUAACCAACCGUACAAAACUGGUCAAAAACAUUGAUGUGACUAAAGAUCUAUACAGCGAGCUUUUGCAGCGUAAAGUGCUCAAUCAGAUGAUAGUCCGGAACAUCAAAACCAUAACACAUCUAAAAGUGUCAGAACCAUCAGAGGCAGAGAAUGGAGAAGUUUCACGAAGAACUGCUCAUAACCAACCGUGUGAAACUGAUCAAAAACAUCGAUGUGACUAAAGAUCUAUACAGCGAGCUUUUGCAGCGUAAAGUGCUCACCCAGAUGAUAGUCCGGGAGAUCAAAACCAACAAAAACACCUACAGACAAAUUGAAGAGCUCUUAGACAUACUACCAAGACGGGGUCCUCAUGCUUUUGAUCUAUUCUGUGAAUGUUUAAUAGCUACAGGUCAAGAGACUAUUGUGCACUCCAUUCUAAAAGUGAAUCUUGCUGAAGCACCUACAGAAAAGCCUGCAUCAUCCGGCAAAGUAUCCACUGCUCACUCUUAAACACAAGGGUCUUCUAUGGCAACUUUUUGAGUGCAAUCACAUCAUCUAUUGUAUCAAUUACAUCAAUUGCUUUACAACUAAGAAAUGAAGAAAAGGUUUCAGUGGAAAGUGAAGAGGAUCUUGCCUCAGAGACUGAAACUCUUGAUGCUGCUGGACCCAUCAGCCUGCUGGAUAGCAUCAAGCCCAUCUCUGCUAUUAGUGAUGUCUUUUGCCUUUUUUGCAGUUAUUGUUUGGAAUAAUCUGUUGCUGAAGCAUGUUGGUGUGGCAUUUUACCAAGUUGCACGGUCCUUCACUCUUGUGAUUUUUGUAAUGUAAUAAUGGGCACUCACAAGGUGGACAACUAUGGCAUCUCCACAUUUAAAUUAAUUUUGUAAUAGGUAUUCGCCUUGGGUAUAUGUUACAAUAUUUUUGGAAAUAAAAUAUUUGAUUCUUCUAA